rnacentral:ncRNA from 2 species
GGAGCACAUUCUGGAGAGACUACAUUUUGUAGCGCCGAAGGGUUCACAAUCUCAGGCAAAUGGACAGAAUCGUUGUA